rnacentral:miRNA from 1 species
UACACGUUACUGGUACUACG